rnacentral:tRNA from 1 species
GGUGAGGUGUCCGAGUGGUUGAAGGAGCACGCCUGGAAAGUGUGUAUAGGUUAACCCCUAUCGAGGGUUCGAAUCCCUCCCUCACCGCCA